UGCCCGCGACGUUGUGAGAAGUCCACUGAAUCUUAUCAUUUAGAGGAAGGAGAAGUCGUAACAAGGUUUCCGUAGGUGAACCUGCGGAAGGAUCAUUG
rnacentral:rRNA from 1 species